rnacentral:tRNA from 1 species
AAAAAGAUAAGCUAAGUAAGCUUCCAGGUUCAUACCCUGUUAAUGAAAGUAAAACCUUUCUCUUUUUA